ensembl:misc_RNA 7SK 7SK RNA
GGAUGUGAGGGCGAUCUGGCUGCGACAUCUGUCACCCCAUUGAUCGCCAGAGUUGAUUCGGCUGAUCUGGCUGGCUAGGCGGGUGUCCCCAUCCUCCCUCACCAAUCCAUGUGUGUCCCUCCCGGUCGGUUGGUCAAAGAGGAUGACCUUCCCCCCACCGAGGAGAGGACUGGUCUUCGGUCAAGGGUAUACGAGUAGCUGCGCUCCCCUGCUAGAAUCUCCAAACAAGCUCUCAAAAUGAUGGACACAUACUUAGGUGGGUGCAGGAACAAUUAACAUGAUAAUGAAGGAAUUUGCGGUAUCUGUCC